UACGUAGGGGGCUAGCGUUGUCCGGAUUUAUUGGGCGUAAAGAGCGUGUAGGCGGCCAGGUAGGUCUGGUGUGAAAACUCGAGGCUUAACCUCGAGAUGUCAUCGGAAACCAUCUGGCUAGAGUCCGGAAGAGGAGAGUGGAAUUCCUGGUGUAGCGGUGAAAUGCGCAGAUAUCAGGAGGAACACCAAUGGCGAAGGCAGCUCGCUGGGACGUGACUGACGCUGAGACGCGAAAGCCAGGGGAGCAAACGGG
rnacentral:rRNA from 1 species